GAUUGAUGCUAGAACAUGUUCGGUGACCAUUUAUCUAUAGGAAAUGGUGUAGUGCCUAUAAUAGACUAUUUUUACCGUGUAACUGGAGUGACUGUGUCAAAUAAUCUACCCCACCAAGCAGUUUGUGCACAAGAGAAUGUUAAUCUGUUGAAAUCAAAGUUACAUUGAUGGUUUUUCGAAUUCGACAACCUUGAGCUUAAAUUUGACAUUUUUACAUUGCAAUCACUUUGAUUUCCUGAUAAUUAACUGAUUAGAAUAAAACCCUGUGUGUCCCUGGGUAGUACCCAACCCUAUCAGAACCAUUGCAAGAGAGGGGAUAUUAUGCAUUCUCUAACUCAACAUGUUUCAGC